UCCAGCUCCCUGCAUGUGGCCUGGGAAAGCAGUUGAGGACGGACCAAAUCCUCGGAACCCUGCAACUGUGUGGGAGACCUGGAAGAGGCUCUUG